GGGGGGGGGAGGGGGAGGAGGAGGCAUCCAACACCGCUAGCGCCAAGAAAUCUAGUGCCCAGAAAUGAUUCGGAGCCCCGCUGCACCCUGCCUGGGAAUGGUCAGAGGUCAGGAAGAGACACACACAGAGAGAGAGGCAGAGACACAGGCAGAGGGAGAAGCAGGCUCCAUGCAGGCAGCCCGACGUGGGACUCGAUCCCGGGUCUCCAGGAUCACGCCCUGGGCUGCAGGCGGCGCUGAAGCGCUGCACCACCGGGGCUGCCCAGGUCUGGAAUUUAAAAUCCAAAUCUGAGAGAUUCUGGAUUUUGAAAUAGAUAUGUGGAAUAAUUAAAA